rnacentral:tRNA from 1 species
CUGCUGGCUGUUACACAUCUUGGCUAUGUAUGUCCUUUAUAAACUAUGGUCCACGUGU